AACGAACGCUGGCGGCAUGCCUAACACAUGCAAGUCGAACGAGACCUUCGGGUCUAGUGGCGCACGGGUGCGUAACGUGUGGGAACCUUCCCUUAGGUUCGGAAUAACUCCCCGAAAGGGGUGCUAAUACCGGAUAAUGUCUUCGGACCAAAGAUUUAUCGCCUUUGGAUGGGCCCGCGUUGGAUUAGCUAGUUGGUAGGGUAAAAGCCUACCAAGGCGACGAUCCAUAGCUGGUCUGAGAGGAUGAUCAGCCACACUGGGACUGAGACACGGCCCAGACUCCUACGGGAAGCAGCAGUGGGGAAUAUUGGACAAUGGGCGAAAGCCUGAUCCAGCAAUGCCGCGUGAGUGAUGAAGGCCUUAGGGUUGUAAAGCUCUUUUACCCGGGAUGAUAAUGACAGUACCGGGAGAAUAAGCUCCGGCUAACUCCGUG
rnacentral:rRNA from 1 species